GAAAAGGUGACCGGUACCCUGCAGAAAGAAAGCGCCGGGCUAAACUACGGUGCCCAGCAGGCCGCGGGUAAUUACGUAGGGGCGCAAAGCGUUUAUCCGGGAAUUAUUUGGGCGUAAAAAGCUUCGUAGGCGGUUUUGUCGCGUCUGCUGUGAAAGACCGGGGGUUCAACUCCGGGUUCUGCAGUGGGUACGGGCAGACUAGAGUGAUGUAGGGGAGACUGGAAUUCCUGGUGUAGCGGUGAAAUGCGCAGAUAUCAGGAGGAACACCGAUGGCGAAGGCAGGUCUCUGGGCAUUAACUGACGCUGAGGAGCGAAAGCAUGGGGAGCGAACAGGAUUAGAUACCCUGGUAGUCCAUGCCGUAAACGUUGGGCACUAGGUGUGGGGGACAUUCCACGUUUUCCGCGCCGUAGCUAACGCAUUAAGUGCCCCGCCUGGGGAGUACGGCCGCAAGGCUAAAACUCAAAGGAAUUGACGGGGGCCCGCACAAGCGGCGGAGCAUGCGGAUUAAUUCGAUGCAACGCGAAGAACCUUACCAAGGCUUGACAUGAACCGGUAAUACCUGGAAACAGGUGCCCCGCUUGCGGUCGGUUUACAGGUGGUGCAUGGUUGUCGUCAGCUCGUGUCGUGAGAUGUUGGGUUAAGUCCCGCAACGAGCGCAACCCUCGUUCUAUGUUGCCAGCGCGUUAUGGCGGGGACUCAUAGGAGACUGCCGGGGUCAACUCGGAGGAAGGUGGGGACGACGUCAAAUCAUCAUGCCCCUUAUGUCUUGGGCUUCACGCAUGCUACAAUGGCCGGUACAAAGGGUUGCGAUACUGUGAGGUGGAGCUAAUCCCAAAAAGCCGGUCUCAGUUCGGAUUGGGGUCUGCAACUCGACCCCAUGAAGUCGGAGUCGCUAGUAAUCGCAGAUCAGCAACGCUGCGGUGAAUACGUUCCCGGGCCUUGUACACACCGCCCGUCAAGUCACGAAAGUUGGUAACACCCGAAGCCGGUGGCCUAACCC
rnacentral:rRNA from 1 species